AUUGAACGCUGGCGGCAUGCCUUACACAUGCAAGUCGAACGGCAGCACGGGUGCUUGCACCUGGUGGCGAGUGGCGAACGGGUGAGUAAUACAUCGGAACGUACCUUAUCGUGGGGGAUAACGCAGCGAAAGCUGUGCUAAUACCGCAUACGCCCUGAGGGGGAAAGCGGGGGAUCGAAAGACCUCGCGCGAUUAGAGCGGCCGAUGGCUGAUUAGCUUGUUGGUGGGGUAAAAGCCCACCAAGGCGACGAUCAGUAGCUGGUCUGAGAGGACGAUCAGCCACACUGGGACUGAGACACGGCCCAGACUCCUACGGGAGGCAGCAGUGGGGAAUUUUGGACAAUGGGGGCAACCCUGAUCCAGCAAUGCCGCGUGAGUGAAGAAGGCCUUCGGGUUGUAGAGCUCUUUUGUCAGGGAAGAAACACCGGCUCUAACACAGUCCGGGAAUGACGGUACCUGAAGAAUAAGCACCGGCUAACUACGUGCCAGCCGCCGCGGUAA
rnacentral:rRNA from 1 species